rnacentral:rRNA from 1 species
CAGUAGCCACGGUAAAACGUAGGGUGCAAGCGUUAAUCGGAAUUACUGGGCGUAAAGCGUGCGCAGGCGGUUCGCUAAGACAGAUGUGAAAUCCCCGGGCUUAACCUGGGAACUGCAUUUGUGACUGGCGGGCUAGAGUAUGGCAGAGGGGGGUAGAAUUCCACGUGUAGCAGUGAAAUGCGUAGAGAUGUGGAGGAAUACCGAUGGCGAAGGCAGCCCCCUGGGCCAAUACUGACGCUCAUGCACGAAAGCGUGGGGAGCAAACAGGAUUAGAUACCCGAGUAGUCCCUGUCUCUUAUAC